rnacentral:rRNA from 1 species
AGGGCACCACCAGGAGUGGAGCCUGCGGCUUAAUUUGACUCAACACGGGAAAACUCACCCGGGCCGGACACUGUAAGGAUUGACAGACUGAGAGCUCUUUCUUAAUUCGGUGGGUGGUGGUGCAUGGCCGUUCUUAGUUGGUGGAGCGAUUUCUCUGGUUACCCCCGAUAACGAACGAGACUCUGGCCUAUUACAUAGACCGUAUAUCGAAAAGUAUGCCGAGCUUCUUAGAGGAACAUGGCGGCCUCUAGCGCAUGAAAAAGAGGAUUACGGGUCCGGGAUGCCUUCAUGUUCGGUGCUGCGGCCGCUACCCUGAACCCAAUGAAGUGCGUUUUUCCAAUUUGGAAGAACGGGGAAACCAGUAAAAUUUUUCCCGCUGGGGGAUGGGGAAAUUGCAAUUUUUUUCCCUUUAAAACGAGGAAAUUUCCCCGGGAAAAAUCCGGGGGAACAAACCCCCCGAGUUUGUUUUACCUCCCUGCCCCCUUUUUUUACACAACCCCCCCGGGUCCCCUCUCACCC